rnacentral:rRNA from 1 species
UCGAUUCCCUUAGUAGCGGCGAGCGAAACGGGAAGAGCCCAAACCAACAAGCUUGCUUGUUGGGGUUGUAGGACACUCUAUACGGAGUUACAAAGGACGACAUUAGACGAAUCAUCUGGAAAGAUGAAUCAAAGAAGGUAAUAAUCCUGUAGUCGAAAAUGUUGUCUCUCUUGAGUGGAUCCUGAGUACGACGGAGCACGUGAAAUUCCGUCGGAAUCUGGGAGGACCAUCUCCUAAGGCUAAAUACUCUCUAGUGACCGAUAGUGAACCAGUACCGUGAGGGAAAGGUGAAAAGCACCCCGGAAGGGGAGUGAAAUAGAACCUGAAACCGUGUGCUUACAAGUAGUCAGAGCCCGUUAAUGGGUGAUGGCGUGCCUUUUGUAGAAUGAACCGGCGAGUUACGAUUUGAUGCAAGGUUAAGCAGUAAAUGUGGAGCCGUAGCGAAAGCGAGUCUGAAUAGGGCGUUUAGUAUUUGGUCGUAGACCCGAAACCAGGUGAUCUACCCUUGGUCAGGUUGAAGUUCAGGUAACACUGAAUGGAGGACCGAACCGACUUACGUUGAAAAGUGAGCGGAUGAACUGAGGGUAGCGGAGAAAUUCCAAUCGAACCUGGAGAUAGCUGGUUCUCUCCGAAAUAGCUUUAGGGCUAGCCUCAAGUGAUGAUUAUUGGAGGUAGAGCACUGUUUGGACGAGGGGCCCCUCUCGGGUUACCGAAUUCAGACAAACUCCGAAUGCCAAUUAAUUUAACUUGGGAGUCAGAACAUGGGUGAUAAGGUCCGUGUUCGAAAGGGAAACAGCCCAGACCACCAGCUAAGGUCCCAAAAUAUAUGUUAAGUGGAAAAGGAUGUGGCGUUGCCCAGACAACUAGGAUGUUGGCUUAGAAGCAGCCAUCAUUUAAAGAGUGCGUAAUAGCUCACUAGUCGAGUGACACUGCGCCGAAAAUGUACCGGGGCUAAACAUAUUACCGAAGCUGUGGAUUGUCCUUUGGACAAUGGUAGGAGAGCGUUCUAAGGGCGUUGAAGCAUGAUCGUAAGGACAUGUGGAGCGCUUAGAAGUGAGAAUGCCGGUGUGAGUAGCGAAAGACGGGUGAGAAUCCCGUCCACCGAUUGACUAAGGUUUCCAGAGGAAGGCUCGUCCGCUCUGGGUUAGUCGGGUCCUAAGCUGAGGCCGACAGGCGUAGGCGAUGGAUAACAGGUUGAUAUUCCUGUACCACCUAUAAUCGUUUUAAUCGAUGGGGGGACGCAGUAGGAUAGGCGAAGCGUGCGAUUGGAUUGCACGUCUAAGCAGUAAGGCUGAGUAUUAGGCAAAUCCGGUACUCGUUAAGGCUGAGCUGUGAUGGGGAGAAGACAUUGUGUCUUCGAGUCGUUGAUUUCACACUGCCGAGAAAAGCCUCUAGAUAGAAAAUAGGUGCCCGUACCGCAAACCGACACAGGUAGUCAAGAUGAGAAUUCUAAGGUGAGCGAGCGAACUCUCGUUAAGGAACUCGGCAAAAUGACCCCGUAACUUCGGGAGAAGGGGUGCUCUUUAGGGUUAACGCCCAGAAGAGCCGCAGUGAAUAGGCCCAAGCGACUGUUUAUCAAAAACACAGGUCUCUGCUAAACCGUAAGGUGAUGUAUAGGGGCUGACGCCUGCCCGGUGCUGGAAGGUUAAGAGGAGUGGUUAGCUUCUGCGAAGCUACGAAUCGAAGCCCCAGUAAACGGCGGCCGUAACUAUAACGGUCCUAAGGUAGCGAAAUUCCU